CGGCAUUUGUUUCUAUCAAGCCUGCAAUCUCACACCUACGUCUACUAUUUAACCAAGUUCUCUCUCUCACUCUCUCUCUAUCUUAAAUUUUCAAUUUUAAUUUUAUAUAUUGCUCUUUUGUCUCGAAAUCCAUUUAUUACUUCUCCUCAAAAUUAUGCCAAAAAAGGUGGUAAUUAAUCUUUUGAUCUGUUAAUAUUGUUAGUAGAUAUUAAUAUUAUUAUGUUGGUUGAAAUUAGUUGAUUAAUUUUAAUUUUAUUAAUUUGUUGUUAACUAAUAUAUACUGCAGUCACAGGCUAAAAUCUGCAGAGAGAAGUCUGUGUUAGUGGCUGUAUAUGUGGAAAGACCAAGGAGGAGAAGAACAACGCUGCUACCAUCGGCACACCGCUACCACCACCAUCUUCAUCUUCACCCAGCUAACAAGGACGGUGGUACUGCUACUAGCGGCAACCGGAGAGCCGAGCUCCUUAACUACUCACGCCGCCUUCGGGAGUCUGCAGCUAGAUCAUCCCACCAUCAGAAUAACCCACUUUCUUCUUACAUCCAACAACCUAUUAACCAGGUGAUCAGUUUAUAUAUAUAUAUAUAUUUCUUAUUAAUCCGUUCCAACAUUAUAUAUGAUGGGCAUAAUUUGAAGAUUGUUGGCCAAAAACAAUAUUGGAUCAUUUAUAUAUAAUAUUAAUUCUGAAAAUUUCAUUAUUAUAUAUAUAUAUAUUGUUUAUAGAUUAUUGCUGUUCAAAGCAAGGCAAAACAUGAUCCAACUCGUAUGGGGAAGUGGAAAGUUAUGAUACCAGGGUUUCUCAGAUCUUUGACAAUGUCAAGAGGCAGGAAGAAAAAG
rnacentral:lncRNA from 1 species